CGAUUAUGAUCAAAUAUCAAAUGCGCUUGAAUUGACUCAUAACAUCAAGCCGGUCAUGUGCGCAGAUGGUACUAAACUUCUUCUUUUCUGCGCAUCAUGUCUUGACAAGCCAAAACAACAUGGCGGAUUUACGAAUUAUAACUGAUGCUCAGGCUAAUGUGGGUGCGCAGUCAUAGGUAUCAAGGGGGGUGAGUGCACCCUGUGCUACCCCCUGUGUACGCGCCUGAUACUGUACAGCAAACACCUGCAUA